rnacentral:lncRNA from 1 species
UCUAUCACACUCAUGUCAAGGGCCUAAGGAUUUUAGCUAUCAUGUUGAUAGGAUUUCUUCUGUACUGCUAAGAGCUAUAACAGUGAGCAUUUUAUUUGGGUGGCGUGAUGCAAGUAGUAGGGUCUGGGGAGGCUUUUACCAUUUCAUGUCACAACAUAUCUAGAUAUGACAAUUUUAUUGAGAAAUGUAUUUUGGUAUUAUGAGAAUAUUGAGAUUGUAAUCCAAUA